rnacentral:rRNA from 1 species
UACGUAGGUGGCGAGCGUUGUCCGGAUUUACUGGGCGUAAAGGGAGCGUAGGCGGACUUUUAAGUGAGAUGUGAAAUACUCGGGCUCAACUUGAGUGCUGCAUUUCAAACUGGAAGUCUAGAGUGCAGGAGAGGAGAAUGGAAUUCCUAGUGUAGCGGUGAAAUGCGUAGAGAUUAGGAAGAACACCAGUGGCGAAGGCGAUUCUCUGGACUAUAACUGACGCUGAGGCUCGAAAGCGUGGGGAGCAAACAGG